rnacentral:rRNA from 1 species
UACGUAGGGGGCGAGCGUUGUCCGGAAUUACUGGGCGUAAAGAGCGCGUAGGCGGCUCUGCAAGUCGCAUGUGAAAGCCCCAGGCUUAACUUGGGGAUUGCAUGCGAAACUGCGGAGCUUGAGUGCGGUAGAGGAAAGUGGAAUUCCUAGUGUAGCGGUAAAAUGCGCAGAUAUUAGGAGGAACACCAGUGGCGAAGGCGACUUUCUGGGCCGCAACUGACGCUGAGGCGCGAAAGCGUGGGGAGCAAACAGGAUUAGAUACCCUGGUAGUCCACGCUGUAAACGAUGAAUACUAGGUGUAGGGGGUAUCGACCCCCCCUGUGCCGGAGCAAACGCAAUAAGUAUUCCGCCUGGGGAGUACGACCGCAAGGUUGAA